AUUGUAAUCAAGCUUCUAAAAUUGGAAGGUGACAUGAAACACAUUUCAGGCUGAUAAUUUUACAAGAUGCUGGCUAGUCCUAGGCAGAUGCUUUUCUGUAUGGUUAAGGACUGGUUAAAGCGAUUUCAAUCAUUAUGACUGUCUUACUACAAAUAGUUGGCAAAGGUUUCUCCUCAUCGCUGAUCCGGAACUUGAUUACUGCUGAGAAGAUAGAAGGUAGUUUCGGGUGAGAAGUCAUGAUGGGAGUCGGUCACCUCUGUCAAGACAUUCAGUUGAGUUCCAAUGGAAGGCAUGGCAGCAAAAGCGACAAGAGCUGAGUCACGAAUGAUAGAGUUUGAUGAAGAAGACAUAUAAUGUGAUCAUACCUCACCUUAAUAGUGCUGGUCAUAGCAUUGAUAUAUAGUAUUGAUGUCAAACCAAGGCCAACAUCAGAGAAGAAACAUUAAAAAAACCUUGGAAAACGAAAGACUCCUCUGUUUUUGACCACUGAGCAAUUUGAUACCAAAAGUCACAGCUAUUACAAGCAAAGGAACCACAAGAAUAUGCAACAUAUGAGGUAAAAUGAUCUUUUGGUUACUUUGGUUUCUGACACAUUGUUCCUGC